UUGCUUAAUAAGGACAAAGGCCUUGGUCACCUGUCUGUGUAGAAUAUGUAUCUUCAAACAUUUUUUUUUUUUUUUGGUUUGCCUACAAAUAUUUCCACAAAACAGCUAUGUUUAGCUGCACUUCUGGUUUAGUUUUACAGCACGUAUUCAACACAGGUUCAGCAUGUAUUCAGCACAAAGACAAAACAGGCUUAUACAGUAUCUUGCUCUGCUUGGCCUCCAGCCUUGCCACCUGAAAGCCAACUAUCCUUUUCAUCUGAAACAAAACGAAACUUUUAAAAAAUGUCCUGUCCAUGAAUCAGUAUAAAAUUCCCUCUCUUUGGGGCAGCUCUGCCAGCACUCUGGGGAGUGUCUACAUGUGACGGGAACACGUUUACUUCCUUUCUGGCAACAUUCAGGUGUGCAUUUAAUGCUGAAGUGCUUGCAACCUUCAGUAAAACACCGUUUAUUGAAAAAUAGACUUUUAUAGCACCAUUUGGCAGCUACCAGUGACUUUUGAUCUGCUCCAGCAGCAAAAGGAGAGAGACUAUAUUGUGCCUUGGAUUUUCUUCUGAAACCCCCAGAGAGGACUGAGGAAGCAAUUGUGGAGUCCCACUGCCAGAGAGAGUGAAGAAAUGGAGGGUAAGCGAUACAGUGACUGUGUGACUGGAUUGGUGCUCAGGUGAGGGUAAAAUGGGUGAGCAGAACUUCGAAGUGCUGAUUUCAUUGCUAUAGCUGGAAAGGGGUAACUUCAGCAGAAAAACUCCCAGACAGCAGCAUGACGGUUGAACCUCCAGAAAGCUUUGUACUCUGCUAGGACAAAUACCAGUCUAAUGAAUGGUCUCUCACCACCACUAUCAGUGUCAAUGCUGGUAAAGUCAGUUCAGCAAGAUAUUCUGCACAUGAAUCCCCCAUUGAUGUCAGUGGUAGUGCCCUGCACUGAGUGAAUGGAGAACAUGCUGCAGGAGACAUCUGCAGUGUAGGUCUGAGACAAUAUUUGUUGCUUUACGUUUUGCAAGCUGAUAGCCUGGUGUAUAUUCUUGGCCACUAUAUGUGAAUAUAUUUCCACAUUUUUGACUCUACAGUUGUUGUUUUUUUAAUAGAGCAGGAAAUCCUGGUCCCACUGAACUCAGGAUAAAACUGCACACUCUACGCCCAUAGUACAUCAUGGAGACAAUUGGCAUUAUGGUGGUCAUAGAGUGAUACAUAUUAAUAACCAUAAUGGGCCAAUUUUUGGUCCCACAGAAGACAUGGAGAGGUUUGCCAUUGACUUGCAAUUAUUAGUUCCAAUUGUUAAUAUGCAUUUCUUUAACAUUAUCAAGGUGUCAUAAUAUCAACCGACAUUAUCCUGUACUGUAUUAUGCUAUGG